GGUUCCUUUUUUUUUUUUGGUUAACAUUGCAGGUACACGAGGGCAAAGGAAUUGCCGACAAUGAGUAUCUCUUUUACAAUUGUGUUGCAAUGUUUUGAUGAAGCGAGGGUGAGCAAUGUUACUAAACCUGACCCAAACAUUGAUCUAGCAAAGACAUCGAAUAGAUGGAUCACCAGUUUAACCGGUGAAUCAAUGGUUCAACCAAUGAGUCAUAAAAUUAUUAGUUAUAUAUAUUUCUCUUUGUAUAACCUAUUUUAUUCGUCAAAAAAAAAUUAAAUGAAACCCUCAAGCUGUACAAACGCUUCUUUUUUAAUACAUUUCAACAUAUA
rnacentral:misc_RNA from 1 species